UACGGAGGGUGCAAGCGUUAUCCGGAUUCACUGGGUUUAAAGGGUGCGUAGGUGGGCAGGUAAGUCAGUGGUGAAAUCUCCGAGCUUAACUCGGAAACUGCCGUUGAUACUAUUGUCUUGAAUAUUGUGGAGGUAAGCGGAAUAUGUCAUGUAGCGGUGAAAUGCUUAGAUAUGACAUAGAACACCAAUUGCGAAGGCAGCUUACUACACAACGAUUGACGCUGAGGCACGAAAGCGUGGGAUCAAACAGG
rnacentral:rRNA from 1 species